GCGCACCAGGGCGAAAACUUUACAAUGUGCGAAAGCACGAUAAGGGAACUCUGAGUGCCUCCUAAGGAGGCUGUUCAGGUGUCUAAAAGCACCUGAAGGAAGGGCUGGGUAAGACCGGUGCCAGCCGCCGCGGUAACACCGGCAGCCCAAGUGGUAGCCACGUUUAUUGGGUCUAAAGCGUCCGUAGCCGGCUGGGUAAGUUCCUUGGGAGAUUUGGCUGGCUUAACAGUCAAGCUUUCAGGGAAUACUGCCCGGCUUGGGACCGGGAGAGGUCAGAGGUACUCCAGGGGUAGGGUGAAAUCCAUUAAUCCUUGGGGGACCACCGGUAGCGAAGGCGUCUGA
rnacentral:rRNA from 1 species